ACUGUAUUAUCUUAACAUUGUAAAGUAAUCUUGUAAUUAGUAUUCGGUACAAUUGAAUUGUCAUUUGUUCUAAAUAUUCGCUGAAUAGCCAUUUAUGUUCUAAACCUAAGCUUCACGUUUCUUGUAAUUGAAAUAAAUCGGUCACUUGUAAAUCAACAAUCGUUGAGUAAAGUUGAACUUUCUCUCUAGUAAACCCCCGCUCAGUGCUGUGAAUAAAAUAUAAAAUAAAAAUACAAAAAAACCAACUCCAUUUAUUUUACUUCCUAGCCCGGCAGAACAAAAGAUUGCUCCACUAGUUUCCCCCCGCUCUACCAAUCUAGAAGAAGUUGCUCUAGAUCAUUUCAUGGUCACAUCGAACCGCUGAAAAUUGAAACCAGCAAAAUACCAACAAAUUUCCCUACAAAAAUCAGCGCAAGAAUGAGGUAAAUUACAUGCUCAUCAGGUUUUAAAAGCCGGACAAAACAAAUAUACUUUCAAGUUACUUCCGGAUGAUAGUUAGAAGAGUGCAUCCAUUUUG